AAACUUGAGAGUUUGAUUCUGGCUCAGAACGAACGCUGGCGGCAGGCUUAACACAUGCAAGUCGAACGCCCUUCUUCGGAAGGGAGUGGCAGACGGGUGAGUAACGCGUGGGAACCUACCUAUUGGUAAGGAACAACACAGAGAAAUUUGUGCUAAUACCUUAUAAGCCCUGAGGGGGAAAGAUUUAUCGCC
rnacentral:rRNA from 1 species